rnacentral:rRNA from 1 species
GGGGGGGGGGGGGGGGGGGGGUGGGGCGGGGGGGUGGGGGGGUGGAGGCCUGGGGGUUGGUGGGGUGGAGGGGUGGCGGAAGGGGGAGUAACACGGGCGUAACCUGCCCGCUUCUUUUGGAUAACGCCCGGACACGGUUGCUGAUACUGGAUCUUCAUCGAUCUUCUCCUGGUGGUUGGUGGCAGGGUUUGUUCCGUUGAGCGAUGGGUUCGCGGCCUAUCAGCUUGUGGGUGGGGUGAUGGACUUGCAAGCCGUUGCCGGGUAGCCGGCCGGAGAGGGUGACCGGUCACAUUGGGACUGAGAUGCGGCCGAGACUCCUACGGGAGGAGGCAGUGGGGAAUAUUGCACAAUGGGCGAAAGCCUGAGGCAGCGACGCCGCGUGAGGGAUGGAGGCCGUCGGGUUGUAAACCUCUUUCGCUCAUGGUCAAGCCGCAACUGUGGGUUGUGGUGAGGGUAGUGGGUAAAGAAGCGCCGUCUAACUACGUG